AGAGCGAACGCUGGCGGCAGGCCUAACACAUGCAAGUCGAGCGCCGUAGCAAUACGGAGCGGCAGACGGGAGAGUAACACGUGGGAACGUACCCUUUGGUUCGGAACAACCCAGGGAAACUUGGGCUAAUACCGAAUAAGCCCUUACGGGGAAAGAUUUAUCGCCGAAGGAUCGGCCCGCGUCUGAUUAGCUAGUUGGUGGGUAACGGCCCACCAAGGCGACGAUCAGUAGCUGGUCUGAGAGGAUGAUCAGCCUCAUUGGGACUGAGACACGGCCCAAACUCCUACGGGAGGCAGCAGUGGGGAAUAUUGGACAAUGGGCGCAAGCCUGAUCCAGCCAUGCCGCGUGGGUGAUGAAGGCCCUAGGGUUGUAAAGCCCUUUCGGCGGGGAAGAUAAUGACGGUACCCGCAGAAGAGCCCGGCUAACUUCGUGCCAGCAGCCGC
rnacentral:rRNA from 1 species